rnacentral:rRNA from 1 species
AGCGAACGCUGGCGGCAGGCCUAACACAUGCGAGUCGAACGAACUCUUCGGAGUUAGUGGCGGACGGGGGAGUAACACGUGGGAACGUGCCUUUUGGUUCGGAAUAACUCAGGGAAACUUGUGCUAAUACCGAAUGUGCCCUUCGGGGGAAAGAUUUAUCGCCAUUAGAGCGGCCCGCGUCUGAUUAGCUAGUUGGUGAGGUAACGGCUCACCAAGGCGACGAUCAGUAGCUGGUCUGAGAGGAUGACCAGCCACACUGGGACUGAGACACGGCCCAGACUCCUACGGGAGGCAGCAGUGGGGAAUCUUGCGCAAUGGGCGAAAGCCUGACGCAGCCAUGCCGCGUGAAUGAUGAAGGUCUUAGGAUUGUAAAAUUCUUUCACCGGGGACGAUAAUGACGGUACCCGGAGAAGAAGCCCCGGCUAACUUCGUG